GACGAACGCUGGCGGCGUGCUUAACACAUGCAAGUCGAACGGUGAAGCGCCUUCCUUUUUGGUGGGUGUGGAUGAGUGGCGAACGGGUGAGUAACACGUGAGUAACCUGCCCCCUUCUUCUGGAUAACCGCAUGAAAGUGUGGCUAAUACGGGAUAUUCUGGGUCUGUCGCAUGAUGGGUCUGGGAAAGAUAUUGUUUCGGUGGGGGAUGGGCUCGCGGCCUAUCAGCUUGUUGGUGGGGUGAUGGCCUACCAAGGCGGUGACGGGUAGCCGGCCUGAGAGGGUGGACGGUCACACUGGGGCUGAGCCACGGCCCAGACUCCUACGGGAGGCAGCAGUGGGGAAUAUUGCACAAUGGGCGCGAGCCUGAUGCAGCGACGCCGCGUGAGGGAUGGAGGCCUUCGGGUUGUGAACCUCUUUCGCCAGUGAAGCAGGCCUGCCUCGUUUGUGGGUGGGUUGACGGUAGCUGGAUAAGAAGCGCCGGCUAACUACGUG
rnacentral:rRNA from 1 species